GGCAGUGGUGGUGCAGUGGUUAAGGUGCUAGCUUCUUAUCCAGAAGGUCAGGGGUUCAAGUCCCAACACUACCA